CAGCUCUCUGCUUUCUGUGCAGCCCCUUGUGGGAGCUGAGUUCCAGUGACGCCCCAAGCCCUCGUUCUAUCUCUUACAGACAGGAGAACAAGCCAGGAUUGAUACGGCGCCUUUCCGGCAGCUUGGCAGGGGAGAGAUGGAGAAGGGACUGUCCCAGGGAGCUUGGCAUGGCACCCACAGGGCCUGCAUUCCAGGCUACUGCUGAAUGGCAGUUCAUUUUCUCUUGGUCUGAAAAGCUUUAGUGACUCAGCUUGGUCUGAAGUUUUGGUGAUGUAAUCGAAGCUUGGGAACUGGAGCCUGUGUCUUAUCCGUCCUGUGAGUGAGUAACCCUUGGGCGUAAUCCACACGUUCGCUG
rnacentral:lncRNA from 1 species